UACGUAGGGUGCAAGCGUUAAUCGGAAUUACUGGGCGUAAAGCGUGCGCAGGCGGUGAUGUAAGACAGAUGUGAAAUCCCCGGGCUCAACCUGGGAACUGCAUUUGUGACUGCAUCGCUGGAGUGCGGCAGAGGGGGAUGGAAUUCCGCGUGUAGCAGGUGAAAUGCGUAGAGUAUGCGGAGGAACACCGAUGGCGAAGGCA
rnacentral:rRNA from 1 species